GUCAAGUUAUGUGGGGGUCAAGUAAAACUCUAGUCGACAGGUACUGGAGAUAUUUCUCUUUAAGUUAUUACUUGCUUUUGUUAUUUAGCCAGUCUCGUAUAUUUCUUGCUUGUCAUUUUGUGAUUAGCCAUCCUAUUGUAUUGUUGAUUCACCACGUGAUACAUCACGUGAUGACCGUUACUUUUGCUGAACGAGCUUCCCUGUGAUACCUGUUUGACUUUUUGUCAUUCCAAACAUAUCGGCCUUCCAUAAGUGGACACUGGCCAAACAUAUCGGCCUUCCAUAGGUGGACACUGGCCAAACAUAUCGGCCUUCCAUAGGUGGACAUUGGCCAAACAUAUCGGCCUUCCAUAGGUGGACACUGGCCUAACAUAUCGGCCUUCCAUAAGUGGACACUGGCUAAACAUAUCGGCCUUCCAUAAGUGGACACUGGCUAAACAUAUCGGCCUUCCAUAAGUGGACACUGGCCAAACAUAUCGGCCUUCCAUAGGUGGACAUUGGCCAAACAUAUCGGCCUUCCAUAUGUGGACACUGGCCAAACAUAUCGGCCUUCCAUAGGUGGACACUGGCCAAACAUAUCGGCCUUCAAUAAGUGGACACUGGCCAAACAUAUCGGCCUUCCAGAAGUGGACCACAAUUUUAACACUAGCAUUGAAGCACCACACAAAUAAAGCAUAAAAAAAUAAACAAAAAAAUCGCGACAUUCUCAACUGGGGGUUGUAACUGCAAUCAUUCCAGACAUUUUUUUUAAAACAAAUAUCUGACUUGUGUACAUGUUUUAAUUAUUUAAAUAAUUAUUAUUCGAUUAUAAAUUAUAUAAUGUGUAAAUAACAUUUCUCUAAUAUAUCCCAUGUAUUUGAAUAAAAAUGAGGGAAUAUAAUUUUUUUUCUUGUUUUUUCCUGGUGUAAGUGACAUCACGUUGAAAAACGAAUCGUGAGAUGUUAAUAUGUGUACGGUAACAACACUGGCUUUACCAACAGAAACAUAUUUCCAUUGUUGUUAUGUCCGUUUUACUUUCAAAUAGUGUACGAAAAUUUUAAAAAGGGUGAUAACAAUGUAAACUUCAU